GACGAACGCUGGCGGCGUGCCUAAUACAUGCAAGUCGAGCGGACCAAACAGGAGCUUGCUCUUGUUUGGUUAGCGGCGGACGGGUGAGUAACACGUGGGUAACCUGCCCGUAAGACCGGGAUAACUCCGGGAAACCGGAGCUAAUACCGGAUAACACCGAAUACCGCAUGGUCUUUGGUUGAAAGGCGGCUUCGGCUGCCACUUACGGAUGGGCCCGCGGCGCAUUAGCUAGUUGGAGAGGUACCGGCUCACCAAGGCGACGAUGCGUAGCCGGCCUGAGAGGGUGACCGGCCACACUGGGACUGAGACACGGCCCAGACUCCUACGGGAGGCAGCAGUAGGGAAUCUUCCGCAAUGGACGAAAGUCUGACGGAGCGACGCCGCGUGAGCGAAGAAGGUCUUCGGAUCGUAAAGCUCUGUUGUUAGGGAAGAAGAAGCGCCGUUCGAACAGGGCGGCGCGGUGACGGUACCUAACGAGAAAGCCCCGGCUAACUACGUG
rnacentral:rRNA from 1 species